GAUGAACGCUAGCGGCAGGCUUAAUACAUGCAAGUCGAGGGGCAGCAUGAGUGUAGCAAUACAUUUGAUGGCGACCGGCAAACGGGUGCGGAACACGUACACAACCUUCCUAUAAGUGGGGAAUAGCCCAGAGAAAUUUGGAUUAAUACCCGCAACAUAAUGAUGUGGCAUCACAUUAUUGUAGCUUCGGCGCUUAUUGAUGGGUGUGCGGCUGAUUAGAUAGUUGGCGGGGUAACGGCCCACCAAGUCUACGAUCAGUAGCUGAUGUGAGAGCAUGAUCAGCCACACGGGCACUGAGACACGGGCCCGACUCCUACGGGAGGCAGCAGUAAGGAAUAUUGGUCAAUGGACGCAAGUCUGAACCAGCCAUGCCGCGUGAAGGAUUAAGGUCCUCUGGAUUGUAAACUUCUUUUAUCUGGGACGAAAAAAGGCGAUUCUUCGUCACUUGACGGUACCAGAUGAAUAAGCACCGGCUAACUCCGUGCCAGCCGCCGCCGUAACAC
rnacentral:rRNA from 1 species